GCCAGGCAUGGUGGCGCACACCUGUAAUCCCAGUUUGGGAGGCUGAGGCAGGAGAAUUGCUUGAACCCAGGAGUUGGAGGUUGCAGUGAGCCAAGACUGAGCCACUGCACUCCAGCCUGCGUGACAGAGCAAGAUUCUGCCUCAA
rnacentral:SRP_RNA from 1 species